rnacentral:rRNA from 1 species
AUUGAACGCUGGCGGCAUGCCUUACACAUGCAAGUCGAACGGCAGCACGGGAGCAAUCCUGGUGGCGAGUGGCGAACGGGUGAGUAAUACAUCGGAACGUGCCCAAUCGUGGGGGAUAACGCAGCGAAAGCUGUGCUAAUACCGCAUACGAUCUACGGAUGAAAGCAGGGGAUCGCAAGACCUUGCGCGAAUGGAGCGGCCGAUGGCAGAUUAGGUAGUUGGUGAGGUAAAGGCUCACCAAGCCGUCGAUCUGUAGCUGGUCUGAGAGGACGACCAGCCACACUGGGACUGAGACACGGCCCAGACUCCUACGGGAGGCAGCAGUGGGGAAUUUUGGACAAUGGGCGAAAGCCUGAUCCAGCCAUGCCGCGUGCAGGAUGAAGGCCUUCGGGUUGUAAACUGCUUUUGUACGGAACGAAACGGCCUUUUCUAAUAAAGAGGGCUAAUGACGGUACCGUAAGAAUAAGCACCGGCUAACUACGUGCCAGCAGCCGCGGUAAUACGUAGGGUGCAAGCGUUAAUCGGAAUUACUGGGCGUAAAGCGUGCGCAGGCGGUUAUGUAAGACAGUUGUGAAUCCCCGGGCUCAACCUGGGAACUGCAUCUGUGACUGCAUAGCUAGAGUACGGUAGAGGGGGAUGGAAUUCCGCGUGUAGCAGUGAAAUGCGUAGAUAUGCGGAGGAACACCGAUGGCGAAGGCAAUCCCCUGGACCUGUACUGACGCUCAUGCACGAAAGCGUGGGGAGCAAACAGG